GUCGUAUUCAGGCAUCUUUAGGAAAAUCUGUUAUGAACAGGUUCCAAAUAGAGAUAAAGGAACUAGGACUAUAUUAUAUGAAGAAUUUCGUGGUUGGCCCGAAUAAACUAAAAUAUAAGACCAACGAUCACCAAUUUAAGCUAAUGUUCACCCAUAGAACGAGUGUGGAGGAAACAAUUGAUGCACACUUUGGUAUGGAAGUCUUCAAUUUUUGACCAUUUGAGCACUUGAUAAAUCAAGUGAAUGUUGAGGAUACUAAACUAUUCGAUGUCAUAGGAGAGAUUGUUAGUUACGGACCUAUACAAGAAUACAAGCAAGGUGAUAAGUCCAGCGCUUUUAUGAAUGUUGAACUCCAAGAUCAUGAGAAUAAUAAUAUUUCAGCUACUUUUGGGGGGGAAUUUGUGGAGCAAAUCAUGCCACACUUGGAUACUUCUAUCGAAAAGUUUGUCAUUGUGGUUAUGCAGCUAAUACGAUCUUAUAAGUUUCAAGGUUUUCAGCUAAUUCUGAUGUACAUUGGGUUCUCUUUUGUGUAUAUUUAACAUAUGAUUAAAUAUAUAGAUAAACGGUUGCAGGUAAAUAUUCUGUACGUAAUUCUUGGCAUGCUUCGAAACUCUGGAUUAAUCCAGAUUUGCCUCAAGUUGCAGAAUUUAGUUCCAGAUUGGAAAAUGUGCGUGGGGAGAAAUCCGAGAGGAUUUCUCAAAUAUCCUCUCAACGUAAUUAUUCUGCUGCAAAAGAGUUGGCUUCUGGAAUGGCUCAAGUUAAAACAAUCAGAAACUUGGUUGA